rnacentral:rRNA from 1 species
CAGCAGCCACGGUAAUACGAAGGGGGCUAGCGUUGCUCGGAAUGACUGGGCGUAAAGGGCGCGUAGGCGGCGAUCAAAGUCAGGCGUGAAAUCCCCGGGCUCAACCUGGGACCUGCAUUUGUGACUGUAUAGCUAGAGUACGGUAGAGGGGGAUGGAAUUCCGCGUGUAGCAGUGAAAUGCGUAGAUAUGCGGAGGAACACCGAUGGCGAAGGCAAUCCCCUGGACCUGUACUGACGCUCAUGCACGAAAGCGUGGGGAGCAAACAGGAUUAGAUACCCGUGUAGUCCCUGUCUCUUAUAC